UGAUGCUAAUUUAAAUCCGAAAUGAUGAAUUUAUCUGGUAAAACCCAUAUAAGCCUUUUAUCAAACACCUUAAUUGCAUAAACAUAAACUUGCCACAUUUGAUGACACACAUCGAUGGAUAACCAAAUCUUCAAGUGUCAAACUUUUUAAAACACACUGAAAAUUAUGUACAAUAUUCUUGAAUAUAUUGAACAUGUAUUAUCAUGUAUAAACCACCAUUUAGGGACACGUGUCCCAAACCCCAUUUCAUUUAUACAUAUAGAUAAUAGAUUAAAAAAUUCAAAUUGUUAUUACGUUUAAAUAAAACUAAACUUAACCUGACCCGGCCAUUUUUACACCUAUAUAAGAUUGGAGAUCAAAGGUACCUAGUGUACUCUAAGUAAAUAAGUAGCAACAUGCUCUCUUCUAGUAAUGGCGUCACCCAAUUUGCAUGGAUGACACAUACAAUUGGCACAACUUGA
rnacentral:lncRNA from 1 species